rnacentral:rRNA from 1 species
GGACUACUGGGGUAUCUAAUCCCGUUCGCUCCCCCAGCUUUCGCGCCUCAGCGUCAAGAUUGCCCCAGGAGACCGCCUUCGCCACUGGUGUUCCUACCGAUAUCUACGCAUUUCACCGCUACACCGGCAAUUCCAUCUCCCCCUAGCACCUUCAAGAAGAACAGUCUCCACCGACCCUCCGGGGUUGAGCCCCGGGCUUUCACAGCGGACUUAUCCUCCCGCCUACGCGCGCUUUACGCCCAGUAACUUCGGACAACGCUCGCCCCCUCCGUAUUACCGCGGCGGCUGGCAC